AAAGAGAGAUUAAUACCCGUAAUAAAUUGAACGGCAUCGUUUGAUUUGAAAGCUCCGGCGGUUUGAGAUGAGUAUGCGUCUGAUUAGCUAGUUGGUGAGGUAACGGCUCACCAAGGCGACGAUCAGUAGGGGAUCUGAGAGGACUAACCCCCACACUGGUACUGAGACACGGACCAGACUCCUACGGGAGGCAGCAGUAAGGAAUAUUGGUCAAUGGAGGCAACUCUGAACCAGCCAAUGCCGCGUGCAGGAUGACGGCCCUAUGGGUUGUAAACUGCUUUUAUACAAGAGAAAAACCCUGGUACGUGUACCAGGUUGAUAGUAUUGUAAGAAUAAGCAUCGGCUAACUUCGUG
rnacentral:rRNA from 1 species